rnacentral:rRNA from 1 species
UACGAAGGGGGCUAGCGUUGUUCGGAAUUACUGGGCGUAAAGCGCACGUAGGCGGGUCUUUAAGUCAGGGGUGAAAUCCUGGAGCUCAACUCCAGAACUGCCUUUGAUACUGAGGAUCUCGAGUCCGGGAGAGGUGAGUGGAACUCCGAGUGUAGAGGUGAAAUUCGUAGAUAUUCGGAAGAACACCAGUGGCGAAGGCGGCUCACUGGCCCGGUACUGACGCUGAGGUGCGAAAGCGUGGGGAGCAAACAGG